AAGUUAUUUAGAAAAAUAGUAUCUAAAGCUAUCAAAAUGCAGCAUCAAUAGUAAUUACAAAUAUAAUCAUAAGGUUUCAAAAAUCUCCACCACUGUCUCCAAAAAAACAACAUAGAGCAUUCCAAGAGUGAAAAGAGUGAAAAAAAUAUGUUUAUUAUUUAAACCUCAAGAAGAAGCUGCAAGAAAAGAACAAGCUAGCUAGGUAUAAAUAGUAAUAUUUCUUAUUCUCUCCCAUAAUUUAAAGAAGUCUGAAAGUUCUUUGUGCUCAUAAAGUAAGGAUGAAUUAUUUAGAAGAUGAAUCACUUUAAAGAUAGUAGAACG
rnacentral:lncRNA from 1 species